AGAAGACAAGAACUUGAAAUCAUCAUUGGUGGAGGUGGCUAUGGUCCUGCUCCUGCUCCUGAAUAUUGCCCUCCUCCUCCUCCCCCUCCUGAACCCAUAUGUCCAACUCCUCCGCCUCCUCCCCCUCCUGAACCCAUAUGUCCGCCUCCUCCCCCUCCUCCGUCUCCUCCGUCUCCUCCGCCUCCUCCGACUCCUCCCCCUCCUGAACCCAUAUGUCCGCCUCCUCCCCCUCCUCCGUCUCCUCCGUCUCCUCCGCCUCCUCCGCCUCCUCCGCCUCCUCCGCCUCCUCCGCCUCCUCCGCCUCCCU
rnacentral:lncRNA from 1 species